AAGCCAAGCCAGGAUCUUGGAGUUGUCCCCUAUAAAAUCCCAAGGUAAAUGUUAGUUAAAGAGUAGGACCAACUCAUUUAAAAGUUUAUGUUUUAAGAAAGAAUUUAUUUUUAGUUAUUUAAUUAUAUCUUGUUUAUUUCUACAUAUGCCAAAAGAAGUCAGGAAUGAUUUAAUCCGAGGUCGCAGUAACAGGGUGACUUGGAGCAAUACCAAUCCUUCACCAUAUCCAAAUAUGAGAAGUCAUUAGUAUGAUUCUAAGAGACCCUUAAUUUACUGAUUUCAUUCAUUUUUCUUUCUUUCUUCUUCAUCUACUACUUCUUCUUUUAUUUUAUUCCUGAAAAAUUGCUAAACUGUAAACUCCCUCAUGUGUGCGCAGACGAUGUGGUGACAAUUGCUUUUAGGGCUGCUGAGGAUGGGCAUGGGAAAUACUUCCGGAAAUUUGGGAUGAGAUGGAACAAAAUGGCAUCUACAGGCUGUUUGAGUUUUGAAAUGUUACGUUUACUAUAAAUCGGAAAAGGAUAAUAUUUAAUUACCCCUCUGUUACAAUGUUUAAAUAUAACC
rnacentral:lncRNA from 1 species